rnacentral:rRNA from 1 species
CCUACGGGAGGCAGCAGUGGGGGAUAUUGCACAAUGGGCGAAAGCCUGAUGCAGCGACGCCGCGUGAGGGAAGACGGUCUUCGGAUCGUAAACCUCUGUCUUUGGGGAAGAAAAUGACGGUACCCAAAGAGGAAGCUCCGGCUAACUACGUGCCAGCAGCCGCGGUAAUACGUAGGUCGCAAGCGUUCUCCGGAAUUACUGGGGGUAAAGGGAGCGUAGGCGGGAUGGCAAGUAGAAUGUUAAAUCCAUCGGCUCAACCGGUGGAUGCGUUCUAAAGUGUCGUUCUUGAGUGAAGUAGAGGCGAGCGGAAUUCCUGGUGUAGCGGUGAAAUGCGUAGAUAUUAGGAGGAACACCAGUGGCGAAGGCGGCCUGCUGGGCUGUAACUGACGCUGAGGCUCGAAAGCGUGGGGAGCAAACAGGAUUAGAUACCCGAGUAGUC